AGGUGGGGAAAUGGUCAAAGAGCGAUGGGCCCAGAAAAGGGUCAGACCCAGAUGGAGAUGCUACUGGCUGCUAGCAGACCCCCACGCUGGGUCUAGCCCACCCAAUCCCAUGGGGAUGCUCCUGUGCUCUGCAGACAUCUGGGUGCUGCCACAGGGGCCCGACAGAGUUGGCAUCUGGGUGGAUCUGAGCCAAGUGGUGCUUCUGGGCCUCAGCAAGUAGCUGGUGCCGAUUCUGGGCAGCCAACUGUGGCAGCGUCUUCAGGUGCGAGUGCUGCUGGGUGAAGCUGCGUGGGCAGUCCAGAAAGUGACGUGACAGUCCACAGGGACCGACGUAGGGUUUCCAGCCCCUAUCUGUGCAGAUGCUGUCCUCCAAACCAUCACGGUCCCUCUCUGGCUGGGGACGUGUGCCUGCCACUGCUGGCUUGCCAGCAUGAUCAUUGGUUGUGACCUGUUGAGCCCAUCUUGCCAGCCUCACAAAGGACAGUACCAGCUGCUUAUGACAGGAAAGUGGAAGAACUUGGCCUGGAUAUUUCUGGAGAAUUACCGUGUGUGCUAGUCAGUCUUUCGUGUCAACCAGGCCAGGCUGUGGGGCCCAGUGAUCUCAUCGCGACGGGCCGAGGUGUUGCUGUGAUCGUGUGCUGCUGGAAUGUGGUGAACACCUACAGUCCAUUUCACCUAAAGAUCAUCCUUGAGAAUGUGGGUGGGCCUCAUCCUAUCAGCUGAAAGCUUUAAGAGCAAAACCCGAGGUGUCCCAGAGAGGGAAUUCUGCCUUGAGACGGCGGCUUCCACUCCCACUGGAUGUCCAGCCCGCGGCCCCACGGCUGGGUGAGCCCGUCCUCUCCUCGUUUCUGCCUCCUGUUUGUUCUGUCUCUGGACCCACGGUGUGGCCCCAGACCCUCCAGUGAGGACCUCCCGUGUUUCUUCAGAGCAGCCCUUGCGUGCUGGAGGCCUGGGCUUCAGUGUGUCCCUGGGUGCCCUGGGGCAUGUUCUGUGACCUCCCAGCUCCUCGCCUCAUGGGGCCGCUGUAUCAAGUGACACAGUUUGUGUGCUGCGUACCAUGCCUGGCACCCAUUUGAGGUGUUGCAAGGAGGCCAUGUUUGCUCGAUGAGAGCAGCCUAAGAUCUACAAACUGUUGUUCGAGUGGAUGGGAACUUGAUGCUAUUUCAGGCUGAAUGACAAGACUCCGCGAUGCUUCUCGGCCUGGGCUGCACAACGGAAUCUACCAGGGAGGUUUUAAAAACACUGGUACUUGCUGGAGGUGGUGGCGCCUGUCUGUAAUUGCAGCUGCUCCAGAGGCUGAGGCGGAGGAUUGCUUGAGCCCAAGAGUUUCGGUUUAUUUGCUUUUUCAGAGUCUUGCUCUAGCCCAGGCUGGAGUGCAGUUCCAUGAUCUCGGCUCACUGCCUCAGCCUCCCAAGUAGCUGGGAUUACAGGUGCAUACAACCAGGCCUGGCUGAUCUUCGUAUUUUUAGUAGAGAUGGGGUUUCACCAUGAUGGUCAGGCUGGUGAAGAUCUCCUGACCUCAAGUGAUCUGCCUGCCUCGGCCUCCCAAAGUGCUGGGAUUACAGACAUGAACCACAACACCUGCCGAGCCCAGGUGUUUUGAAUCCAGCAUGGGCAACGGCAAGACCCUGUCCCAGCAAACAAAAAAACACUGGUGCCUGAGGCCCACCCCGAGAGAUUCUGAUUGAGUUGAUUUGGAUGUGAAUUAUCUUUAAAAUUUUGGAUGUGAAUUUUUUUUUUUUUUCUUGGAAUGGAGUUUCACUCUUGUUCCCCAGGCUGGAGUGCAACGGGACGAUCUUGGCUCACCGCAACCUCUGCCUACUGGGUUCAAGCCAUUCUCCUGCCUCAGCUUCCCAAGUAGCUGGGAUUACAGGCAUGUGCUACCAUGCCCAGCUAAUUUUGUAUUUUUAGUAGAGACAGGGUUUCUCCAUGUUGCUCAGGCUGGUCUUGAACUCCUGACCUCAGGUGAUCCGCCCGCCUCGGACUCCCAAAGUGCUGGGAUUACAGGCAUGAGCCACCAUGCCUGGCCGGAUGUGAAUUAUCUUAAAAAUUUUCAGGUAAUUCUAAUGGGCCAAGGUUGAGAACCCCUGCUCUGGGCCCAUCCGAGCACCAGGCUGUCACAAACGCAUGCAUGCACUCACGCCCGUGGGCUUGGGGGGCUUCGGAAAUGUGCUUCUGCUUUUUUGAGAUGGGGUCUUUCUGUUGCCCAUCCCGGAGCACAGUGGCACGAUCACAGCUCACUGCAGCCUCGAUCUCCUGGGCUCAGGUGAUCCUCCCGCCUCAGCCUCCCGAGUGUCUGCUUCUGGUUUUCAUGAUGACCUGGGGCCCAGGCAUACUACACUUGUGCUGUUCAGGGGCCAGUCCUGCACCAGGAGCCCAUCAGCCACAGCUCCGCCGAGAAGCACUGAUAUGCAGAGCUAAGCAGCUUUGUUUCCACGUGGAUCCUGCGUAGGUUUUCUUGGUCCAUCCAUAGACACCGCACUCCUGCAGAGGAUCUUCUUGGGAUGCCCCACUGUCUCUGUUUUCCCGCUUCACUGAACACUCAGUCGGGGCUCGCCAUGAUGCCUGUGUCUGCUGGCUUCUCCCCCAUUGGAACAGCCUUCUUGGCACGCCACACUGCUAGCUGCUGGGCACUGUGCUUUCUGCCUUUACCGUUCUGCCGUGAUGUUGCCAAAAUAGCAACAACAACAACAACAAAGGCUGGGCACCGUGGCUCAUGCCUGUAUUCCCAGCAGUUCGAGAUCAGCCUGGGCAACAUGCCCCAACUGGACCCUAGGCAAAAGUGAGUGGCACUCCUCUGCCAGGACUCCAGGCGAGCCCCGGCAUCUUCUUGCUGCCGUCCCAGACAACAGAAGUUACCAGAUGAACAGACUUGGAUGGGCCACGGGGGUGGAGAGCUGGAAAGCUUGGCUGUGCCUCUCGAUGAUGAUUAAGAUUUCAAUAUUUACAGCAAAACCACAAAGCAAAUGAUAGAAUAAAGCAAAACAAUGGAAAAUCUGAGUUCACUCGUGAGAGAGGUACGUAUGUGAGCUCUGAGGAAAUUACAGAGGGAACGCAUGCAGCGGGACAGCUCUCCCAAUCGCAGCGUGCAAAGUAGACAUCCAUAGUGUCUUUUGAAAAAUGAAAGACACAUUACUUUGAACAGCCAAGAAAAAAAAUUGCAAUUUAUUAAGAUUCAAUAAAGCGUUGUACUUUCGAAAGCA
rnacentral:antisense_RNA from 1 species